UGGUACAAACCCGUAGAUCCGAUCUUGUGGUGAAAUGGAUUUCACAAGCUCGUCUCUUUGGGUCUGUGUCAG
rfam:Sarcophilus harrisii ctg7180002322388, whole genome shotgun sequence.